AUGAGGCAGACCGUGGUCCUGUACCCCGGUGCCGGCGUCGGACACGUUCGCCCCAUGACAGAGCUCGCCAACGUCUUUCUCAAGCACGGCUACGACGUCACCAUGGUACUCGUCGAGCCGCCCUUUAAGUUGUCAGACUCCGGCACCACUGCCAUCGAGCGCAUUGCCGCCUCCAACCCGUCCAUCUCCUUUCAUGUCCUCCCAUCCCUCCAGGCUCCAGACUUUGCGGCCCCAAGCAAGCACCCUUUCUUACUCAUGCUCCAGCUCUUGCACUAUUACAACGAGCAGUUUGAAGCAUUCCUCCACGGCAUCGAUCGAAAAAGCUUGCACUCUGUUGUCCUCGACAUGUUCUGCAUCGACGCCACCGAUGUUUGCGUGAAGCUCGGUGUCCCGGUCUACACGUUCUUCGCGGGGAGCGCCUCAUGCCUGUCAGUCCUAACCCAACUCCCGGCAUUGAUUGCCGGUAGGCAGACAGGCUUGAAGGAACUCGGGGACACACCCCUCGAUUUCGUCGGCGUUCCACCGAUGCCAGCGUCUCAUCUCAUCAAGGAACUAUUAGAGCACCCGGAAGAUGAGAUGUGCAAGGCCAUGAUGAACAUCUGGAAGCGCAACACAGAGACCAUGGGCAUUCUGCUGAACACGUUCGAGUUGUUGGAGAACCGCGCGGUGCAGUCUCUCAGGGGCCCACUCUGCAUCCCCGAAAGGAUCCUGCCUCCGAUCUACUGUGUUGGUCCAUUGGUCGGCAAGGGCGCCAAGGAUGAGGACAAAGUAGAGAGGAACGAAUGCCUCGAGUGGCUCGACAUGCAGCCCGACCGCAGUGUCGUGUUCUUCUGUUUGGGGAGCAAGGGCGCGCUCUCGGAAGAGCAACUGAAGGAGAUAGCCGUUGGCUUGGAGAGGUCAGGGCAACGGUUCCUAUGGUCUGUGCGCAGACCUGCUGGAAGCGACAACCCGGAGAAAUACUUGAAAGUGGGCCCUGAGCCGGACCUUGGCUCACUCCUGCCUCAAGGGUUCUUAGAGCGGACCAAGGGCAGGGGCCUGGUCGUCAAGUCAUGGGCACCACAGAUGGACGUGCUCGACCAUAGGGCAACCGGCGCGUUCGUGACGCACUGCGGUUGGAACUCGGUGCUGGAGGCCAUUGUGGCUGGGGUGCCGAUGUUGUGCCUGCCACUGGAAGCGGAGCAGAAGAUGAACAAGGUGUCUAUGACAGAGGACAUGGGCGUCGCUGUCGAGCUGGAAGGAUACAUGACAGGUUUUGUCAAGGCAGAUGAGGUGGAGGUCAAGGUGCGGCUGGUAAUUGAGGGCGAGGAAGGGAAGCAGCUCAGGGCCCGGGUAGCUGCUCGCAGGGAGGAGGCCGAGGCGGCCCUGGAGGAAGGUGGCCCGUCCCGGGUGGCGUUUGCCCAGUUUCUGUUGGAUGUGGAUAGUCUUGGAAAGCAGCUCAGGGAAUGA
rnacentral:rRNA from 1 species